rnacentral:tRNA from 1 species
GUCUUCGUGGCUCAGUUGGUUAGAGCGUUGGUCUCAUACUUCUAUGAUUUGAUGGGUAACCAUCAAAAGAUCCAAUCCAAAGGUCGUGAGUUCGAGUCUCACCGAGGACA